rnacentral:rRNA from 1 species
AGAAAGCCACGGCUAACUACGUGCCAGCAGCCGCGGUAAUACAGAGGUCUCAAGCGUUGUUCGGAAUCACUGGGCGUAAAGCGUGCGUAGGCUGUUUCGUAAGUCGUGUGUGAAAGGCGCGGGCUCAACCCGCGGACGGCACAUGAUACUGCGAGACUAGAGUAAUGGAGGGGGAACCGGAAUUCUCGGUGUAGCAGUGAAAUGCGUAGAUAUCGAGAGGAACACUCGUGGCGAAGGCGGGUUCCUGGACAUUAACUGACGCUGAGGCACGAAGGCCAGGGGAGCGAAAGGGAUUAGAUACCCCUGUAGUCCUGGCAGUAAACGGUGCACGCUUGGUGUGCGGGGAAUCGACCCCCUGCGUGCCGGAGCUAACGCGUUAAGCGUGCCGCCUGGGGAGUACGGUCGCAAGAUUAAAACUCAAAGAAAUUGACGGGGACCCGCACAAGCGGUGGAGUAUGUGGCUUAAUUCGAUGCAACGCGAAGAACCUUACCUGGGCUUGACAUGUAAUGAACAACAUGUGAAAGCAUGCGACUCUUCGGAGGCGUUACACAGGUGCUGCAUGGCCGUCGUCAGCUCGUGUCGUGAGAUGUUUGGUUAAGUCCAGCAACGAGCGCAACCCCUGUUGCCAGUUACCAGCACGUGAAGGUGGGGACUCUGGCGAGACUGCCCAGAUCAACUGGGAGGAAGGUGGGGACGACGUCAGGUCAGUAUGGCCCUUAUGCCCAGGGCUGCACACGUACUACAAUGCCCAGUACAGAGGGGGCCGAAGCCGCGAGGCGGAGGAAAUCCUGAAAACUGGGCCCAGUUCGGACUGUAGGCUGCAACCCGCCUACACGAAGCCGGAAUCGCUAGUAAUGGCGCAUCAGCUACGGCGCCGUGAAUACGUUCCCGGGUCUUGUACACACCGCCCGUCA